UACGAAGGUGGCAAGCGUUGUUCGGAUUUACUGGGCGUAAAGGGAGCGUAGGUGGUUAGGUAAGCCCUCCGGGAAAUCUUCAGGCUUAACCUGAAAAGGUCGGGGGGGACUGCCUAGCUAGAGGGCGGGAGAGGAGCGCGGAAUUCCCGGUGUAGCGGUGAAAUGUCGUAGAGAUCGGGAGGAAGGCCGGGUGGCGAAGGCGGCGCUCUGGAACGUUUCUGACACUGAGGCUCGAAAGCGUGGGGAGCAAACAGG
rnacentral:rRNA from 1 species